CGGAGGCGGAGGCGCCUGGGCGGAGGAUGCGGGGCCGCGGCACAGCCCCCGGCCGUGAGAGCUAGGAGAGAGCCGCUCCCACCGUCCAGCCCGCAGCCCUCGCCGUUUCUCCACCUCGGCCUGUGGAGCCGGGGAGUCCGGGCGGAGCCCUCGCUCGCCUGGUCAGGGGGUGCGCAUCGGAGGAGGCAGAAGCCAUGGAACCCGGGCAACAGCCGCCGCCUCAUGUGGCCCCCCAGGGUCAAGGGCAGCCGCCUGCGCCGCCUCCUCAAGGGCAGGGCCCGCCGUCCGCAGCCGGCGGCACCCGCGACGACCCGUCACAGGCACGCCCCGCCGGGUAUCAGAUCGUGCACGUCCGCGGGGACUCAGACCCACUUGGAGGCGCUCUUCAAUGCCGUCAUGAACCCCCAAGAAGGCCAACGUGCACCAGACCGUGCCCAUGGGGCUCCAGAAGCUGCCCGACUCCUUCUUCAAGCCGCCCGAGCCCAAAUCCCACUCCCGACAGGCCAGUACUGAUGCAGGCACUGCAGGAGCCCUGACUCCCCUCAUGUUCGAGCUCAUUCCUCUCCAGCUUCUCUGCAGUUGGGAGCUGUUUCUCCUGGGACACUGACCCCCACUGGAGUAGUGUCUGGCCCAGCAGCUACACCCACAGCGCAGCAUCUUCCACAGUCUUCUUUUGAGAUACCUGAUGAUGUACCUCUGCCAGCACGUUGGGAGAUGGCAAAGACAUCUUCUGGUCAAAAAUACUUCUUAAAUCGCAUCGAUCAGACAACAUGGCAGGACCCCAGGAAGGCCAUGCUGUCUCAGAUGAACGCUACAGCCCCCACCAGUCCACCUGUGCAGCAGAAUAUGAUGAAUUCGGCCUCAGGUCCUCUUCCUGAUGGAUGGGAACAAGCCAUGACUCAGGAUAGAGAAAUUUACUACCUAAACCAUAAGAACAAGACCACCUCUUGGCUAGACCCAAGGCUUGAACCUCGUUUGGUAAAGCCAUGAACCAGAGAAUCAGUCAGAGUGCUCCAGUGAAACAGCCACCACCCCUGGCUCCCCAGAGCCCACAGCGAGGUGUCAUGGGUGGCAGCAGCUCCAACCAACAGCAACAGAUGCGACUGCAGCAACUACAGAUGGAGAAGGAGAGGCUGCGGCUGAAACAGCAAGAACUGCUUUGGCAGGCAAUGCAGAAUAUCAAUCCCAGCACAGCAAAUUCUCCAAAAUGUCAGGAGUUAGCACUGCAUAGCCAUUUACCAACACUGGAGCAGGACGGUGGGACUCAAAAUCCAGUGUCUUCUCCCGGGAUGUCUCAGGAAUUGAGAACAAUGACGACCGAUAGCUCAGAUCCUUUCCUGAACAGUGGCACUUAUCACUCUCGAGAUGAAGUACCGACAGUGGACUAAGCAUGAGCAGCUACAGUGUCCCUCGUACUCCAGAUGACUUCCUGAACAGCAUUGAUGAGAUGGAAACGGGUGAUACUAUCAACCAAAGCCCCCUGCCCUCGCAGCAGAACCGUUUCCCAGACUACCUUGAAGCCAUUCCUGGGACAAAUGUGGACCUUGGAACACUGGAAGGAGAUGGAAUGAACAUAGAAGGAGAGGAGUUGAUGCCAAGUCUGCAGGAAGCUUUGAGUUCUGACAUCCUUAAUGACAUGGAGUCUGUUUUGGCUGCCGCCAAGCUAGAUAAAGAAAGCUUUCUUACAUGAUUAUAGAGCCCUCAGUAGACUGAAUUCUAAAUCUGUGAAGGAUCUAAGGAGACAUAUGCACCUGAAAUUUCCAUAAGUCAGUUGCAGUUUUCUGGCUAAUACAGAAAAAGAUGAACAACUGUCCAGCAAGAUACUUUAAUCCUCUAUUUUGCUCUUCCUUGUCCAUUGCUGCUGUUAAUUUAUUGCUGACCUUUUUCACAGUUGGCUCUAAAGAAUCAAAAAAAGAAAAACCUUUUUGUUUCUUUUGCUAUUAUAACUACUGUUCAUUUUGGGGUCUGGGGGAAGUGAGCCUGUUUGGAUAAUCGAUGCCAUUCUUUUUGCCCAGUUAAAUGUUCACCAGUCAUUUUGACUAAAUACUCAGAAGUCAGAUGCUUCAUGUCACAGCAUUUAGUUUGUUCAACAGUUGUUUCUUCAGCUGCCUUUGGCCAUUGGAAAAAUGCGAUUUACUGGUCUGACAAGCCAAAAAAUGUUAUAUCUGAUAUUAAGUACUAAUGCUGAUUUGAAGAGAUAGUUGAAACCAAGGCUGAAGACUUUUACUUUGAGUAUCUUCUUUUCCUCCUGGUGCUAUUAUUAGUCACAUGGUGACCUUGAUUUUUAUUUUAGGAGCUUUAGGCAGGAGAUGAUUUCCAUAGAAAUAUAUUAAUUAUUGCCACAUACUCUAGUAUAGGUUUUGGUGGAUAAUUUUGUGGGUGUGCAUUUUGUUUUGUUUUGUUGUUUUUUUUUGGGGGGGCGGGUUGGUGAUUUUGUUGGAACCUAGGCAAAUGACCAUAUUAGUGAAUCUGUUCAUAGUUGUAGCUUGGGAUAGUUAUUGUAAUUGUUGGUAAAAAUCUUCAUUUCCUGUUUUUUUUUUUCUACCACCUUAUUUAAAUCUUGAUUAUCUGCUCUUUCUUUUAUAUACAUGCACACACAAACAUAACAUUUACAAUAGUGCGGUAGCGGAAUGUAUCCUUUCUUUUUAGGUUUCCCUACUUUCCAGUUAAUUUUAAAAUGGUAGUGCUUUGUAUGCAUUUAGAAUGCAUGACUAGUAGUUAAUAUUUCACUGGUACUUUAAAUCUGGUUGUGGACACAGUUGUUUGAAGUAGUUUAGUGUUCUAGAAAGAGCUAUUACUAUGGAUAGUGCCUAGGGGAGUACUCCACACCCUGUGGGCAUACAAUAGAUAUUAUCUGCUAAAUUGGAAAGGGGCGAACCAGAAGUGGCUUUAAUUUUUCCCUUGGACUCCCUUGGACUAAUAACAGCCUUGGUUGGAAAUCACUGAGUAGGUUUAUAAUGUGCAUGACAGAAAUAAGCUUUAUAGUGGUUUACCAUCAUUUAGCUUUGGAAGUUUACCUUUGCCUUAGUUUUGGAAGUAAAUUCUAGUUUGUAGUUCUCAUUUGUAAUGAACACAUUGAAGACUAGAUGAAAAUAUUGCCUUCAAGAUUGUUCUUAUAAGACUUGCUCCUACUUCUGUAUGCUGAAAAUUGACCCUGGAUAGAAUACUAUAAGGUCAUGAGUUAGCUGGAAAAGUGAUCGGAUUAAUAAAUGUAUAUUGGUAGUUGAAUUUAGCAAAGAAAUAAGAGAUAAUCAUGAUUAUGCCUUUAUUUUUACAGGAAGAGAUGAUGUAACUAGAGUAUGUGUCUACAGGAGUAAUGGUUUCCAAAGAGUACUUUUUAAAGGAACAAAAUGAGCAUGAAUUAACUCUUCAAUAUAAGCUAUGAAGUAAUAGUUGGUUGUGAAUUAAAGUGGCACGAGCUAGCACCUCUACGUUUAAGGGUCUUUUAAUGUUUCUAGAAUAAGUCCUUAAUUUCAAGGGUUUAUAACAGGUAUAAAGUCUCUUCUCCUGGCAAAAGCUGCCAUGAAAAGCCUCAGCUUGGGAAGAUAGAUUAUUUUUCCCCCAAUUACAAAACCUAAGUAUUUUGGCCCAUCAGUUUGGAGGAGUGCAAAAGUUGGAAGUCAGAAGUUUUAUUUUAAAUACUUUCAGUGCUCAAAAAAAUGCAGUCACUGUGUUGUAUAUAAUAGUUCAUAGGUCGAUCACUCAUAAUAAUUGACUCUAAGGCUUUUAUUAAGAAAACGGCAGAAAGAUUAAAUCUUGAAUUAAGUCCGGGGGGAAAUGGCCACUGUACAGAUGGAGUUUUACAGUAAUAAUGAAAUUCUACCUAGAAUGCAAGUUUGGGUAUAUGAAUUAUAUAGCAUGUUGUUGGGAUUUUUUUUUUUAAUGUGCAGAAGAUCAAAGCUACAUGGAAUGAGUGCCUAUAAUUUGCCAGUAACCACAAAUUAAGAUUAUAUUUUAUAUAUCAGCAAAGUAGCUUUAGCUUAGUGGGAGGGUGGGAAGGUUUGGGGUGAGGGUUGUGAAGAUUUAGGGGGACCUUGAUAGAGAACUUUAUGAACUUCUUUCUCUUUAAUAAAGACUUGUCUUACAUCUUGCUGUCAUUAAACGCAGCCGUUCCUAGAAUUUCAAUCACUUAAGUACAUCCACAAAACAAGAAUAUGGAGAUCUUCAUUUCCCCUUGACUUUAAUUUGCCCAGUUAUACCUCAGUGUUGUAGCAGUACUGUGAUACCUGGCGCAGUGCUUUGAUCUUAUGAUGCCCUCUGUACUGACCUGAAGGAGACCUAGGAGUCCUUUCUCUCAGUUUGAAGCAUAGCCUUGAUGUGGUCUCUUGUUUUAUGUCCUUGUUCCUAAUGUAAAAGUGCUUAACUGCUUCUUGGUUGUAUUGGGUAGCAUUGGGAUAAGAUUUUUAACUGGGUAUUCUUGAAUUGCUUUUACAAUAAACCAAUUUUAUAAUC